rnacentral:miRNA from 1 species
AAAGGAAAAUACAUAAAAAAUACAAUCCCACUUAGGGUAAAAAGUGGGAUUGUAUUUUUUAUGUAUUU